rnacentral:tmRNA from 1 species
AUUAUUGAAUCUUUCUGUUAGAGUUUUAUAUUAAUAGCGUUGGUUUUCCAACUAUGACGAUAAACGAAUUUCGUAAUAAACAUUACGGACGUGGGGGCAGUACCCACCAC